CGGGGAGUAGCGCAGCUGGUAGCGCGCAGCGUUCGGGACGCUGAGGUCCCGGGUUCGAAUCCCGGCUCCCCGACCA
rnacentral:tRNA from 1 species